AGAAUUAAAAUUCUGGUUAAUUAUUUAUUUGGGUUAAACAAGCUUAAAUCAUUAAUCAUCAAUGGUUUAGUAAACCGGGUAUACUUAUAUAUUAAUUAUAAGUAUUACUUUCUUCUUAAAACCUAAAAUAAAAAGAGAAGCAGCGCAGCCAUUCUUCAUCACCAGCAUCUCUGGCCAUCUCCACGUUCUUCUCUCUCUUAGCGGGUUCAACGAUCAUAAUUUACCUUCAUCUUCCUGGAGAGUUGUUCUGCAUAACACAUCUGAGACCAGUAUUGAGGAAAUUCGGGAAUGGAUUAUCAAAUCAUGGAAUUUUGAUGCCAAACUUUCGUGAACGAAUCCACAAACAGUCAACUUCAUAAACGUUUUCCCGUUUAUCCAGACUGACCUAGAAAACGUGCGAGAUACCAUUGGAAAGGUCUCGUUCUCAGCUUUCCGAAUCAUCAUUUAGAUCGUCAAACCGAGUUGACCGCAUCUUCCGUUGUUCAUCUCGGUCAGUGGCUAAGGUGAGACCGACGAGUAUGAGAUUGAUCGGACAACUGGUGUUUCUAGGCGUUUUCAUUUGUUUUAUUCUCAGACUUAUAUUUUAUUAUUUCUGGCGAUUAUUUCAGUACUUCAGUUACGGAGAUUUUAUGAUUAUUUAUUAUUAUUAUUUUUAUUAUUUAA